rnacentral:guide_RNA from 1 species
AUAUUUGUGUAAAUCAAUAAAAUCAUUAUCUUCUGUAAUGAGUGGUGUAAA